rnacentral:rRNA from 1 species
UACGUAGGGGGCGAGCGUUAUCCGGAUUCACUGGGUGUAAAGGGAGCGUAGACGGCCAUGCAAGCCAGGGGUGAAAGCCCGGGGCCCAACCCCGGGACUGCCCUUGGAACUGCAUGGCUGGAGUGCGGGAGGGGCAGGCGGAAUUCCUGGUGUAGCGGUGAAAUGCGUAGAUAUCAGGAGGAACACCGGCGGCGAAGGCGGCCUGCUGGACCGCGACUGACGUUGAGGCUCGAAAGCAUGGGGAGCGAACAGG